UCGAGGGGCUCACGCCCCGUCGAGAUAGGACCCUUGCCUUUUUCGAGCACCCAAUCGUUUCCUCGGCAGGCUCGCCUGCCAAUGGGGACCUCUCAAAACCUUUGUAUAUAACAUGUCGUAGUCUGAACAACAAGCAAACAAUCA
rnacentral:misc_RNA from 1 species